UCCGUAGGUGAACCUGCGGAAGGAUCAUUAAAGAUUAUGAAUGAAUAGAUUACUGGGGGAAUCGUCUGAACAAGGCCUGCGCUUAAUUGCGCGGCCAGUUCUUGAUUCUCUGCUAUCAGUUUUCUAUUUCUCAUCCUAAACACAAUGGAGUUUUUUCUCUAUGAACUACUUCCCUGGAGAGCUCGUCUCUCCAGUGGACAUAAACACAAACAAUAUUUUGUAUUAUGAAAAACUAUUAUACUAUAAAAUUUAAUAUUCAAAACUUUCAACAACGGAUCUCUUGGUUCUCGCAUCGAUGAAGAACGCAGCGAAUUGCGAUAUGUAUUGUGAAUUGCAGAUUUUCGUGAAUCAUCAAAUCUUUGAACGCACAUUGCGCCCUCUGGUAUUCCAGGGGGCAUGCCUGUUUGAGCGUCAUUUCUCUCUCAAACCUUUGGGUUUGGUAGUGAGUGAUACUCGUCUCGGGUUAACUUGAAAGUGGCUAGCCGUUGCCAUCUGCGUGAGCAGGGCUGCGUGUCAAGUCUAUGGACUCGACUCUUGCACAUCUACGUCUUAGGUUUGCGCCAAUUCGUGGUAAGCUUGGGUCAUAGAGACUCAUAGGUGUUAUAAAGACUCGCUGGUGUUUGUCUCCUUGAGGCAUACGGCUUUAACCAAAACUCUCAAAGUUUGACCUCAAAUCAGGUAGGAGUACCCGCUGAACUUAAGCAUAUC
rnacentral:misc_RNA from 1 species